rnacentral:rRNA from 1 species
CCUACGGGCGGCUGCAGUGAGGAAUAUUGGUCAAUGGGCGAGAGCCUGAACCAGCCAAGUCGCGUGAGGGAAGACGGUCCUACGGAUUGUAAACCUCUUUUGUCAGGGAGCAAGGAGCGCCACGAGUGGUGCGGCGAGAGUACCUGAAGAAAAAGCAUCGGCUAACUCCGUGACAGCAGCCGCGGUAAUACGGAGGGGGCAAGCGUUAUCCGGAAGUACUGGGUGUAAAGGGAGCGUAGACGGUUAAGUAAGUCUGGAGUGAAAGGCCGGGGCCCAACCCCGGGACUGCUCUGGAAACUAGUGAACUUGAGUGCAGGAGAGGUAAGCGGAAUUCCUAGUGUAGCGGUGAAAUGCGUAGAUAUUAGGAGGAACACCAGUGGCGAAGGCGGCUUACUGGACUGUAACUGACGUUGAGGCUCGAAAGCGUGGGGAGCAAACAGGAUUAGAUACCCGAGUAGUC